AUUGAACGCUGGCGGCAGGCCUAACACAUGCAAGUCGAGCGGUAGCACAGAGAGCUUGCUCUCGGGUGACGAGCGGCGGACGGGUGAGUAAUGUCUGGGAAACUGCCUGAUGGAGGGGGAUAACUACUGGAAACGGUAGCUAAUACCGCAUAACGUCGCAAGACCAAAGUGGGGGACCUUCGGGCCUCAUGCCAUCAGAUGUGCCCAGAUGGGAUUAGCUAGUAGGUGGGGUAACGGCUCACCUAGGCGACGAUCCCUAGCUGGUCUGAGAGGAUGACCAGCCACACUGGAACUGAGACACGGUCCAGACUCCUACGGGAGGUAGCAGUGGGGAAUAUUGCACAAUGGGCGCAAGCCUGAUGCAGCCAUGCCGCGUGUGUGAAGAAGGCCUUCGGGUUGUAAAGCACUUUCAGCGGGGAGGAAGGCGGUGAGGUUAAUAACCUCACCGAUUGACGUUACCCGCAGAAGAAGCACCGGCUAACUCCGUGCCAGCCGCCGCGGUAAAAC
rnacentral:rRNA from 1 species